CUUUUUGUUUGUUUUCAUACAUCCAGUUCAAAAGAGCAAGAGUUCUGAUGUACAAGUAGGCAAACAGUAAAAAGGCAUUUCCACAGUCAAUUCAGAAACCCUUUCCAGAUUCAGUGGGACAUAUUCUGGCAGGUUCCAAAGUCACUUUUCACUCAUCAGAAGCUCUUCCUAGUGUUGCCAGACUGGUUCAUCCACUCUUCAUCACCUGGGAAGUCUUCCAUGUUUUGUCCUUUUUCUUUGAAAGAGCUCACAGCUUGCAUAUAUCAGUUUCAGAAGGAGUAACUUCCCCGAUCAUUAUUAUACUGCAGUUUCAGGUCGCUCAUGUGCAGGUGUAUAGAAGUUAUCCUUAUUAGGUUGUGUAGCAGAAAUGCUAAGUCAGCCUGAAACAGUAAUUGAGCACCUGGUGGGAAGGCAGGGCCAACCCAGAGGAGAUCAGGUGCCUGCAACACACCUGAGUGACCAGAAGAGGAGGAGCCAGGAUCCUCCCUUUCCCAGACAUCAUUUAAGGGUUGGCAGUGGAGGCAGAGGGUUCUUGCUGGAGAUCCCUGCCUGCUGGAGGCUCUUCCAUAGGGGCCAGGAGGACCACAUUGUCUCCUGCUGAGGAAAGGGGAAGAAAGGAAACGAUCUAAACAGUGAAGCCUAUUGCCAAGUAAGGAAAACAAUUUGAAAGCAUGGAAAACAUGUCCAACACAGUGACAACGAAUAGUGGGAGUUUUACAUGCCUUGAUAUCCCUAAAAUGUCAGUCUCAUGCACCAUUUGUUAGAGUAGUGACCUUUACGGGUAGAUUUAAAUCUUUAGCAACUCCAGUCAAAGGAGAUGCACACAAGAGAGCAAUCCCUGGAAGAGAAUUAGAGCAAUGGAGAAAAGAUGGCUCGUCAGGAAGCACAGAGCAAUUUGUAUGGAGGGAGGAUACUCAGUGAACUGUGUUGGGAGGUUUAGGUGAAGCAAUGAGCCCGUCACUGUGUUUUGAAAUGUGCAUAGCAGAAGUGUGUCUGGGAUCAGAUUGGGAAUUGUUCUGCUUAACUCUUCCUUAUAAGAGAACUGGAUUUUCUAUACACUGCAGUGUGACUGCAGUAUGGUUCCUCUACAUUAAGCAAAAUACAAGAGAGAAGCCCAAGUUCAAAUACAAAAUUACAUUUAAGAAGCAUUCUAGCUCCAGAUUAAUGCCCCCCUUUUGUAGCUCUAUGAAGUAUGUUUUUCCAUUAGACCUUCAAGGAGAGGAAACUUUUAUGUACACUUUGCCAAGUCUAAUAUGUAAAGCACCCCAAACAAACCAUGGUAGUGUUCCUCACUGCCCAUAUGGACCCCACAUAUGGAAUGAAGAUCACACUGAGGAUGUGCGUGUAGUACAGCAGGACCUGAUCUUGCAGUCUUCCCCUCAUUGUGCAGUGUCCCUUUGGGUACAAGGAGCAGUGCGCCUGACAAGACAGACUAAAACCAGACUGUUGCAUCUGAGGAACAGGCCACUUAAUGACCUUAAGGACCAAAAGCAUCAACUGAGUGCAUCAGCACUGAGCAGAGAAGGGAAGCCUUUCUGUACAGAUCCUGUGCUGUGGUGCUGCUGCUCAGCUCACAUCACUAACACCUUCUUGAAUGUUAUUUCUUACCUGGAAGAGUCAGCAGGUUUAGGUCGGAGAGGAUCUGGCCAUUAGCGGGAAUGUUCAGCAACACUGUGGAGCAGACAUGAAACAGCUGGCAUAAUUCCAGAUGCAUGCAGCCUGGAACAUUUAAUGGCACACGAGGGAUAAGAUGACCAAACUGUAAACCCCUCUACUCCCUCCCUCCUUCCUUUUUUAGUUUUUAUAAAUGCAGUUUUGAACAUACAGUGUAUAGAUGCUUUCUACCUUCCUUUGUCUCUCUGUUUCUUACUUGUGACUCCUUGGGGCCCAAUUGAAAAAAAACUUGUUCUGCACCAUUUACUUAGGUUUUUGGCAAGAGUUUUCUAGGAAAGAAUGAGGAAUGUGCUGUUUCUACAUGAAUUCGCCCACAGGUCAGUCCUUGUGCAGUGCACACACUGGAGGGAUUGCAAAUGCCAGGAUUCCCAGUUUGUUUGCUCUGCGAAGACUGCACAUACAUUUUCUGUCUCUGUCUCACAGGCACUCAUGGACAACCAUCCAUGUGCAUGCACAGAUUCAUUAGUGUCAAUGACUGGUGAUAUGUCUGUCAACGUCAAUGCAGCAUCAGUGAUAUUGAGCGAAGUUUUAGCUAGUAGUAAACAAAUUGUUGGUGCCAAAAGCAAACAGGCGUUUUGAUAUUUGCCUAGGUGUAGGACAAAGUGUAGCUGGAAAAUUAAUCCACAAAAAUUUUGGAAUCUGGAGGUUACUGAUAAAAAACAGCUGUUUACAUGCUACCUAUAACUGACUUCUUGACUUCAUGCCUGGCUGGGCAUGGUGAACAUCAGGCAAUAUAUAAGUUAUUACCAAAGUGAUGAAGAAGAAUGCCAAAACAUGAAGGGUGUUGGUGCUUAUUUUAAAUGUGUCAGGGCUCAGAUGCAUUUCCCUCUGAUAGUGCUAUGAUGAUUGUGUCUAAUGGAGCAGAAUGUGUAGGACUGAUGUGAUGUAGUUAAUCCAGCAAUUUAUGUGCUUACCAUAGCUACAAGUUUUUGGGUUAGCUCUAAAAUUCAUUGUAAAAUGAAUACUUUAGCAUGGUAGCCCCAGUAACACUUCUGUAUAUUGUCCUUUGUAAUUUUGUUGGCUUGCUGACAUCAGUGCUUUAAUACUUAAUAUCCUGUGAACGUUUCUGUGUUUUAUAGUUCUGUACAUACUGGAAUAAGGAGGGAGGAGAGGCCUGGGCUCUCUAAUAAGGAAACACACAUUACUCUUUACUGAUAUGUUUUUGUUCUCUGCUAAUAAUUUUUUUCCUUUUUGCUUCAGCCUGAGGAAGAACUGCUGUUAGAACAGAAAAGGGCAGAUGGUAGUGUGUAUGUGAAGUGUGGUUGUAAUUAUUUUAUUACCUAGGCAAGCACAAGGCUUGUUUAUGUGAGAAGAGGUGAUUAAUUCCUUUGGGUCACUAGAGAAAAAUUCCAGACCUGUAACCGAUUUCUCUGGUGAGCUACUGAAUUCUUUGUAUCUACCACUGUGCCAGGCUGUACCUUCUCUACACCACCUCUAAACACAAUAAAUAAAUAAACAAAAAAA
rnacentral:lncRNA from 1 species